rnacentral:rRNA from 1 species
UACAGAGGUCCCAAGCGUUGUUCGGAUUCACUGGGCGUAAAGGGUGCGUAGGUGGUGGGGUAAGUCUGAUGUGAAAUCUCCGAGCUUAACUCGGAAACUGCAUCGGAUACUAUCUUGCUCGAGGGUUGGAGGGGGGACUGGAAUACUUGGUGUAGCAGUGAAAUGCGUAGAUAUCAAGUGGAACACCAGUGGCGAAGGCGAGUCCCUGGACAACUCCUGACACUGAGGCACGAAAGCUAGGGGAGCAAACAGG